rnacentral:ncRNA from 1 species
CUCUGGGCCGCAGAUCGUCAUGGCUCAGGGCGGAAAGAG